rnacentral:rRNA from 1 species
UACGGAGGGUGCGAGCGUUGUCCGGAAUCAUUGGGCGUAAAGAGCGCGCAGGCGGUCGUUCAAGUCGCGUGUGAAAGCCCCCGGCUCAACUGGGGAGGGUCACGCGAUACUGAUCGACUCGAAGGCAGGAGAGGGUAGUGGAAUUCCCGGUGUAGUGGUGAAAUGCGUAGAUAUCGGGAGGAACACCAGUGGCGAAGGCGACUAACUGGCCUGUUCUUGACGCUGAGGCGCGAAAGCUAGGGGAGCAAACGGG